GACGAACGCUGGCGGCGUGCCUAAUACAUGCAAGUAGAACGCUGAAGGAGGAGCUUGCUUCUCUGGCUGAGUUGCGAACGGGUGAGUAACGCGUAGGUAACCUGCCUGGUAGCGGGGGAUAACUAUUGGAAACGAUAGCUAAUACCGCAUAAUAGUAGAUGUUGCAUGACAUUUGCUUAAAAGGUGCAAUUGCAUCACUACCAGAUGGACCUGCGUUGUAUUAGCUAGUUGGUGGGGUAACGGCUCACCAAGGCGACGAUACAUAGCCGACCUGAGAGGGUGAUCGGCCACACUGGGACUGAGACACGGCCCAGACUCCUACGGGAGGCAGCAGUAGGGAAUCUUCGGCAAUGGACGGAAGUCUGACCGAGCAACGCCGCGUGAGUGAAGAAGGUUUUCGGAUCGUAAAGCUCUGUUGUAAGAGAAGAACGAGUGUGAGUGUGGAAAGUGCACACUGUGACGGUAUCUUACCAGAAAGGGACGGCUAACUACGU
rnacentral:rRNA from 1 species